rnacentral:rRNA from 1 species
GUAGGGGUGCAAGCGUUGUUCGGAAUCAUUGGGCGUAAAGCGCGUGUAGGCGGCCAAUUAAGUCUGAUGUGAAAGCCCGGGGCUUAACCCCGGAAGUGCAUUGGAUACUGGUUGGCUAGAGGACGAGAGGGGGAAGUGGAACUCCUGGUGUAGGGGUGAAAUCCGUAGAUAUCAGGAGGAACAUCGGUGGCGAAGGCGGCUUCCUGGCCCGUAUCUGACGCUGAGACGCGAAAGCGUGGGUAGCAAACAGGAUUAGAUACCCUGGUAGUCCACGCCCUAAACGAUGGAUACUAGUCGUCGGGAUACCUAAUUGUCUGGGUGACGUAGCUAACGCAUUAAGUAUCCCGCCUGGGGAUUACGAUCGCAAAGAUUA